rnacentral:rRNA from 1 species
GGAGGGUGCAAGCGUUGUUCGGAAUUAUUGGGCGUAAAGCGCGUGUAGGCGGUUUGUUAAGUCUGGUGUGAAAGCCCUGGGCUCAACCUGGGAAGUGCAUUGGAUACUGGCAAACUUGAGUACGGGAGAGGAUAGUGGAAUUUCGAGUGUAGGGGUGAAAUCCGUAGAUAUUCGAAGGAACACCGGUGGCGAAGGCGGCUAUCUGGACCGAUACUGACGCUGAGACGCGAAGGCGUGGGGAGCAAACAGGAUUAGAUACCCUGGUAGUCCACGCCGUAAACGAUGGGUACUAGGUGUUGCGGGUAUUGACCCCUGCAGUGCCGAAGCUAACGCAUUAAGUACCCCGCCUGGGGAGUACGGUCGCAAGACUA